rnacentral:rRNA from 1 species
GAUGAACGCUGGCGGCGUGCCUAAUACAUGCCAGUCGAGCGAACAGACGAGGAGCUUGCUCCUCUGACGUUAGCGGCGGACGGGUGAGUAACGCGUGGAUAACCUACCUAUAAGACUGGGAUAACUUCGAGAAACCGGAGUUAAUACCGGAUAAUAUAUUGAACCGCAUGGUUCAAUAGUGAAAGACGGUUUUGCUGUCACUUAUAGAUGGAUCCGCGCCGCAUUAGCUAGUUGGUAAGGUAACGGCUUACCAAGGCAACGAUGCGUAGCCGACCUGAGAGGGUGAUCGGCCACACUGGAACUGAGACACGGUCCAGACUCCUACGGGAGGCAGCAGUAGGGAAUCUUCCGCAAUGGGCGAAAGCCUGACGGAGCAACGCCGCGUGAGUGAUGAAGGUCUUCGGAUCGUAAAACUCUGUUAUUAGGGAAGAACAAAUGUGUAAGUAACUAUGCACGUCUUGACGGUACCUAAUCAGAAAGCCACGGCUAACUACGUG